GAUUCAACAGUGACAAACGUGCGGUUCAUACGUCAGAGCACUUGGCUCGAGAAAUGUCUCAAAUCAAUUAGGAAAGAGAAGGGGCUGUGCGCUCUAAGAAAGCGGAGAAAGAAAGGUUGGCCCUUCCCAUGGUCAUGGGCCAAGUUC